rnacentral:lncRNA from 1 species
CUUGAUCCCACCAAGAAAUACACGUCUUACAUAUAAAUGAUCCAAUGAGCAACAAGCCAACAACUCAGCGCCCAGUCCUCUAUAUAAGUGUAUACACUACACGGAAUAACACACAUUUGUUUGCAUUUCUCUUGCUUGCUGAAAAUAUACUAAAGCAGAUAUAACAUUUUUCGCUCACUACAUGGAUAUUUUUAGAAUUAACUACAGUCACGGCUAGUAUAGGUUGUUUUACUCUGAGCUCGAGCUCAAAUGCUCUUGAUAUAAUCAGUGAAAUCAAUAAAAUAUUGAUUUUGGUUCACAGAAUUAUGAAUUUUUUUUGUGUGGCAAAUAUUAACGAAUGUUUUGAGUCCUUGUAAAUUGUAUCAUGAAAUCACAUUUGGGAAAAACAAUAAAAUCAGUGCUACAAAAUGCUUUAGAAAGCAGCAUCUUCGGAGCAUCCAUUUUUUUUUUAUCAUGACUUCCAUAAAUGUGAUUCCAUGAUGAGUAUUGGGAUCACUCAAAACAUUUCAUCAUGUUUUCCAC